AAUGCAUGUACACAAAAGUGUCGGAAUUAUAGCGACUGUUCAGGAAUUCAACAAAUAUUCAACCGCUUUGCAUCCCCUUGUGCAUGUUUUCGUCCUUUUCUCGUUGACAAAUGGCAUCUAACAAUAUGCCAGCCAACUUAUGUCCACUCACCCACGGUAAGGCAUGUCAGUAGUGAAGACGGCUAAAAUCUAAUAAUUCCAGCGACUUGGAUCUCUACUGCUGUUGGAACGACACGUAUUGUUAUCACCAAAAACCAAUUUAGGGCAUAUUUCCUCUCGAGUUUGGACUUAUUAAAAAAUCGCUUAAAUUAUUAGAAAGCUUCAGUUCGUUAAAAUAAUUUAUGAAACUAACAGUUCUAAAUAUAAUAGAUUUCGAUUAAAUUGUGUUGUACCGUAGGAAAAAAGCCAAAAAGCGAAAAUAAUAGCUUCGUUCCUAAACUAAUGAAAGUAUCAAGCAAACAUCAAAUAUCGGCCGUCGCGGAGGAUCCGUUCUAAUUACUGUUUCGCUCACGCUCCUUUUCCGAGGAUUUAUUCAAAAUCACUUAGAUCAAAAAAAGAAUUUGUUAGAACAUUUGCGGCCCCAUGAUGAAAUAAUAACCAGGUGAAGUAACUAAGCAAUUGUCUCCCUCCCGCCAGCUGCCUUAGCAAGACUUGUUGCUUUUAUAGAAUUAUAUUCCCAUGUUUAAAUAAAAAUCUUGGAAAGAAGCGUGAACUUAAACUUUUUCAUCUUUGAAAAGAGUAGACAUCACUACAGAUGUUUCAAUGACUGAAUGACUGCUGAAAUGUCAAUCUGUUACAAAUAAAAUUGAAAUUGUUUUCUUUGAAAAAUUAUGUUGUCGCAAGAUAGAUUUUGUAAUAUAAACAUGCAAUAAAUAUAUUUAUUCUUAGUUCAUAAUUGGUCAGUGUCGCAUCUUUACACAAAGCGGGAAUUUAAUCGUUGGAGCUGUGCAAUGCAUGAAAAUAUUUUGCACACGUAAAAAAUAUCAGUGAAAAUUUCAUUACUAAGAGAUUAUGACAAAAACAUGUGAACCCCGCUAGGAAGUGCACCAUGCAUAUAUGCGAUAUUUUCUACAAUUCUCUAUAAAAAAAAAUACGUAAUAAAUGCUAUUUUUUAAAUAAAUUCUAUAACUUUAUUUAAAUUA